rnacentral:rRNA from 1 species
AUUGAACGCUGGCGGCAUGCCUUACACAUGCAAGUCGAACGGCAGCACGGGAGCAAUCCUGGUGGCGAGUGGCGAACGGGUGAGUAAAGUAUCGGAACGUGCCCAGUCGUGGGGGAUAACGUAGCGAAAGCUACGCUAAUACCGCAUACGAUCUAUGGAUGAAAGCGGGGGAUCGCAAGACCUCGCUCGAUUGGAGCGGCCGAUAUAAGAGUAGGUAGUUGGUGGGGUAAAGGCCCACUAAGCCGACGAUCUGUAGCUGGUCUGAGAGGACGAACAGCCACACUGUGACUUAGACACGGACCAGACUCAUACUGGAGGCAGAGUGGGUAAUUUUGGACAAUGGGCGCAAGCCUGAUCCAGCAAUGCCGCGUGCAGGAUGAAGGCCUUCGGGUUGUAAACUGCUUUUGUACGGAGCGAAAAGGCUCUCUCUAAUACAGGGGGCUCAUGACGGUACCGUAAGAAUAAGCACCGGCUAACUACGUGCCAGCCGCCGCGGUAAGAC